ensembl:lncRNA
UGACCAAAAAUGAAUCAAGAUAUUACAUCCGCAUUAACAAAAAAACGAAAUAAGCAGCACAACUGGCGUUUAUUUAAGAAGCUGAACACCAGCAACAUGUUUGUCAAAUUGAACCUGAGAAGAGGCCCAUCAGCAAAAUGGGUUUCAGGUCAUCUCAACUGUGUGUCAUUGAUUACAAUCAUCUCCUUAAUUCAUUGGUUGUUGCUGCCAAUUCCAAUGGAAGAAACCAUCGAUCGGGUCAUUUUUAAUCCUCCGGUAAUUUCCGGUAUAUGUUGGAUAUUUGAAGGAGAAACUGCGCUCAUUGGCUGUUGGAACCCUGGUUAUCAGAGACUCAGCAGCAUUUAAACAAUGCUGACAGAUUUUUGGGAUCUUCGCGCAAAUAAAGGUUCUUCAGGUCAAUUGUUCAAGAAAAGUUCAAAGUUCAAAGCAGCAAUCGACAAAUCUUUUUCCCCAUCCCGUUAACACGGUCCAACCGACAAGACAACAUUCAUGUGUCUUAAAAACCAUAGCAUUUUCAUUCCAUUCAAGAGGUUUAUUUACUCUCCCGUUUAUCUGUUUUGUUUGGACUUGAAGUUGUUUCUUUAAAGCUCCUUUGAAUGCCGCUGGACACAAUAGCUGGAAGCCUCCUCAGCGCUUUCCUGUUGCCUUCAAAUACACAUAAACUUAUGAAUAAACUCGCUCUCGGCCUCCCUGUCGUCUCCCGCCGCAGCUCCUCUCUCGUCGCCCUCUAAUCAGCUAAACACAACAGCGGAGUCAACUUCCUGUCCCGGUUUGGAGGGGGGGGGGGGGGGGGGGGUUGCUCCCGCCCCUUCCUGUCUGUGUUAUCUCUCCCGCGAGCCGACACAUUGUGUUCACUUCCCGUUCGCUUCGGCCUGGGAAAACAACCUUGGCGAGGGAAGGAAAGCGGCGAGCUGAGGAGGAACACGGGGACGAGACCAGGAGGGACGACGGAGGGAACAAUGUGGAGCGGUGAUGAGUUUUCCAGCUGAGCAGAAACACUAAAGAGCAAAAGAAAAAACACUGAUUGUGCGAUAGGUGUUAACAUCCUGUUUGCAAAGCGAGGCCCAACGCAACGUUUACCAAGUAACGAAGAUCACCUUUUGUGUAACGAGCAACUUAUUUUUUCUGGCGGCCAUCUUUGUUUGAACCAAACGCAGCUCGUGGGUCUCACUGGAGGAAAUGUUUUUCAGACCCGUCGGUCUCCGGGGAACAACAUUAAAGUUGUUUUUCGCAUUUCUUUUUUAUGUCGUCGCCAUUAUCUCUGAAUUUGAAAGAAAAAAAAAACGGUGUUGUUGAAAUCGGCCGCCUGCAGCAGGCAGAAACGCUCCAUUAUCUAUUUUCCUAAAAGUGUUGUGUGGUUCGGUCCUGAGACAUUUGGAGAGGCAGAUGGGUAAAUCCAAAAUACAUCAAUCAUUACAUUAAAUACCGUUAUUAUGUUCCUCCUCAUUACUGUGCAGCUGCAAGAUGACGGAUGCCAUGUUGUAUAAGUAUAAUAGCUGAACAUGAUAAAAAGUGUUUAUAUGUGUUUAUAUUUCUAAAGUGAAAAUCAGGUUGGGAUUCAGACAGAAAAUAGUUUUUUAAAGUUUUUCCUCUUAAUGUCAAGAAAACAACAAAAUGUGUAUCAAGAUAUUAGCCUGAAAAAAGCAGACCUUUGGUUGAUUUCGCAUUUCUAUGUUUGCAAAGUGUUAUUGAGGAGUAUACUUUGAGUGAAAAAAACAACAACAAAAAAAAAAACGUGCCUCGUGGUGAUUUAACGGCUUCACCUCCUUUUAUUCGCAGUCGGUGUUGCUGCAUUUAGAAGAAGUCAAACUUGACACAAUCUGUUGUGAUCGCUGGAAAGUGAAAGACUUGCUGUCGAAUGGCCGUCUGAGGGAAUAUGUGAUUAACCGUUCUUCUGUGUGUGUGCUUGUGCUUGUGAUUGUGCUCAUGUAGAUACACACAAAAGGGUGUCAAACCAAUAUAAAAAAAAAAAGAGUAACCACGUAGAAAUACACGUGUAAAUACAGUAUGGGUCUCCAAGUGAGCAACAUGUGCCUUUAUCCUUAAACAAAAUACUGUAUUUCCUUUUUUUGAUGGCAAACACAAUGUUUUAUAUAUUGUUUUUAUGGUGUAAAGCAACUACUUUUUAUUACCUGACAUUUUUGUAAGUGUAAUGUAAAAAUAAACACUACAUUAAGUUCUGUUGUCCUUCUGA